AAUGACCAGGAUGGUAUUACUAAAUUGAAUCAACAUCUCUUUAAACACUUUCAGACUAAGGAUCUGGGCACACUAAAGUAUUUUCUGGGUAUUGAGAUCGCACAGUCUAGCUCAGGUAUAGUGAUCUCACAACGGAAGUAUGCCUUAGAUAUUCUUGAGGAGACAGGAAUGACAGGUUGUAAACCUGUUGACACUCCGAUGGAUCCGAAUUCUAAACAUGCCUUAGAUAUUCUUGAGGAGACAGGAAUGACAAGUUGUAGACCUGUUGACACUCCGAUGGAUCCGAACUCUAAACUUCUCCCAGGACAGGGGGAGCCUCUUAACGAUCCUGCAAGAUAUAGGCGGUUAGUUGGUAAAUCAAAAUUAUCUUUCAGUGACAAGACCU
rnacentral:lncRNA from 1 species